AGGAAGUUGGAGCCAUACUGAUCUUAUUUAGACGCCUACUGAAAUCAAGCUUAGAGGGAUUCACAGCCAUCUUCAGAGGUGUUUAUUCAUCUUCCACUUUGUUCCUACUCUUGUCAGAGGAACCUCCCAGACCGUCAACAGCCAUAUGAUUCUUGGCAACAUUCUGUGUUGGAAGAGCCUUUCGCUUUGAACUUCCCUGGGAGUGCUGAUAUUUUAAUCCUCCUUAACUAUUCCUUUGUCUACUUUUCGGCACCAGCAAUGUGGUUUCUGCCAGUAAAUGAGUCAUCAAACCACUUUCUAAGUGAUUUCUCAGCUCCACCCUGGGAUUGACCGAGGACAGAGGUGUUGCAGGUUUGACUGGUCUGUGGAUCAGUUAACAAAAGACAUCCAGGGAUCCUCUUCGACUUUUGUUCCUGUUAUUAAAGAAGAAGCAUCACAACCCACGAUCGCCCCCAGCCCCAAUCUAAAUGUACAGAAGCUUACAGGAUGAGGCGGGGCGCGCUCAGUGUUGCUGUGUGAGAGGUGUCGGAGGAAAGGACAAAGUUUCACUGCGGCAGUUUCUUCACAAUACGAACAUCGCAGCAACGGUUGGCUUGAGGACAACAGAAACUCCUGCAGGUUCAUACAUGCCCGUCUUACAAUGACACAGAGAAAUCAAAUCUGAGAGACUCUGUCUUUGAGCAUGUGUUUGUGUUGCGUCAAAUCAAUAAUCCCUCAGAAAAUCCUCUCAAAAGUGUUUUUUUUUUCAUUCUUUUAAGUAAAAUGAAAGGUGAAGCUGCCUGUGGAUCAGUGGUGGGGGGCAUUUUUCCUGUCGAGGGCAAUUUAUAUUUUUAAAACAUACUAAAUUAUUCAACACUUGUAUCACACUAACCUCUCUC